rnacentral:rRNA from 1 species
CCCUUAGAUGUUCUGGGCAGCACGCGCGCUACAAUGGUCUUCGCAAACGGAUGCAUUCUCGAAGGAGAAUGCCAAUCUUGGAAUCUAUGCCUUGGUCGGGACAGUUGCUUGCAAUUUUUCGACUCGAACCAGGAAUUCCUUGUAAUCGUGAUUCAUCACAUCACGAUGAAUACGUCCCUGCCCUUUGUACACACCGCCCGUCGCUCCUACCGAUCGAAGAGUUAGGUGAAUUGUUUUGAUCGAUAAGAUUUGACUAUGGUCAACUCUCGUUGUGAAAUUCUGUGAAUCUGACUGUUUAGAGGAAGGAAAAGUCGUAGCA